rnacentral:rRNA from 1 species
UACGUAGGGUGCAAGCGUUGUCCGGAAUUAUUGGGCGUAAAGAGCUCGUAGGCGGUUUGUCGCGUCUGCUGUGAAAACUCGGGGCUUAACCCCGGGCCUGCAGUGGGUACGGGCAGACUAGAGUGCGGUAGGGGUGACUGGAAUUCCUGGUGUAGCGGUGGAAUGCGCAGAUAUCAGGAGGAACACCGGUGGCGAAGGCGGAUCUCUGGGCCGAUACCGACGCUGAGGAGCGAAAGCGUGGGGAGCGAACAGG